rnacentral:rRNA from 1 species
UACUGCCAGACUUGGAACCGGAAGAGGUAAGAGGUACUACAGGGGUAGGAAGUGAAAUCUUGUAAUCCCGUGUGGGACCACCUGUGGCGAAGGCGUCUUACCAGAACGGGUUCGACGGUGAGGGACGAAAGCUGGGGGCACGAACCGGAUUAGAUACCCGGGUAGUCCCAGCCGUAAACGAUGCUCGCUAGGUGUCAGGCAUGGCGCGACCGUGUCUGGUGCCGCAGGGAAGCCGUGAAGCGAGCCACCUGGGAAGUACGGCCGCAAGGCUGAAACUUAAAGGGAAUUGGCGGGGGAGCACAACAACGGGUGGAGCCCUGCGGUUUAAUUGGACUCAACGCCGGACAACUCACCGGGGGCGACAGCAAUAUGUAGGCCAAGCUGAAGACUUUGCCUGAAUCGCUGAGGAGUGGUGCAUGG